GUCCCCGUCGUCUAGUGGACUAGGACUCAGGAUUUUCAUUCCUGCAACGGGGGUUCGAUUCCCCCCGGGGAUG
rnacentral:tRNA from 1 species